UACGAAGGGUGCAAACGUUGCUCGGAAUUAUUGGGCGUAAAGCGCACGUAGGCGGCUCUGUAAGUUGGAUGUGAAAACCCUCGGCUCAACCAAGGAAGUGCAUCCAAAACUGCGGAGCUUGAGUACUUAAGAGGAUCGCGGAAUUCCCGGUGUAGAGGUGAAAUUCGUAGAUAUCGGGAGGAACACCAGUGGCGAAGGCGGCGAUCUGGGAAGAUACUGACGCUGAGGUGCGAAAGCGUGGGGAGCAAACAGG
rnacentral:rRNA from 1 species